rnacentral:lncRNA from 1 species
AUGCUCAGAUUAAGAGACUUGUCUAAGGUGGUUCAAAUUAUGAGUCACAGACCAUAUAGUAGCUCUUUAAAGGAGACUUCAGUUUACCUCCAGCCCUCAGAUCCUACACGGCACUGGCACAUAAUAGGUAGUCAAAUAUUGUUUGCUGAAAUUAGACACACACUUGUACUGCUAUUUAACUGGAUUGAGGGGGUGUGGAUGGUUAUGUGCUCAGGUAUUUUGUCUUUUCAAAUAGACUCAUUUAAAGUUAAGAAUUGUUUCUUAUAUUUGACCUCUUCCACCUUUUAAGAAAUGUGUUUUGUGACCUAUAUAGGAACCAGGUGAGAAAUUAGUAUUAACUUUUUAAAAAAUUGAAGUUCAGUUGAUUUAUAAUGCUGUGUUGGUUUCAGGUAUACAGCCCUCUCUCUGUCUAUAAUUUUUGAGAUUCUUUUCCAGUGUAGGUUAUCACAAGGUAUUUCAUAUAGUUCCCUGUGCUAUACAGGGGUCCUUGUUAAAUAUUAACUUUUAGUUUCCACUCUAAGGAAUUUAGUAUAUUCUUUCUUGUGGUGCUUGUCAUAAUUAUUGCUUAAUCCAAGUUAUGUACAGUGUCAUUGAUGUUAUUUGAAUCUCCAUAAGGCAAAUAGUCUUUUAAAAUUUCAACCAUUUAGGGAGCUCCCGUCAUGGCUCAGUGGUUAACGAAUCCAACUAGGAACGAUGAGGUUGUGGAUUUGAUCCCUGGCCUCUGGCCUCGCUCAGUGGGUUAAGGAUCCAGUGUUGCCGUGAGCUCUCGUGUAGGUCGCAGACGUGGCUCGGAUCUGGUGUUGCUGUGGCUCUGGUGUAGGCCAGCGGCUACAGCUCCGAUUCAACCCCUAGCCUGGGAACCUCCAUGUGCCAUGGGAGCAGCCCUAGAAAAGGCAAAAAGACAAAAAAAAUAAAAAUAAAAAUUCAACCAUUUAGGUACAUUUAUGUUAUGACAGUGAUUAAUUAUACCUUUAUCAUUAGAUCAAGUACUUAAUAUGACUUAUUAAAUUGAUGAGCACAGUAAUUAAUGUGUAGCAGCUUAUACUUCCUUACGGAAUGUCUACAAAAUAAUGCUCUAAUCUUGAUCCCUAGCAAAAUGUUUGAUCCUAGUUGGUCACUGAUUUGUCUUUUCUCCUUCCUAUCACCAACUACUUUAAUAUUGAUCAAAAGCAACAUUCCUGUGGAAGAUUUAUUUUUGUUCAUAGUAUCUAGACUCUAUUCACAUUUUAUCUUUUAUUAAUUUUUUAAAAAAAUAUUUUAUAUAUGCAAAAAACCCAAAGCAUAAUAUAAUGAACAAUUGUUUACCCACCAAUCAGAUUAAGAAAUAAACUAUUUUCAAAACAGUUGAAGAUCCCUUAGUAAGCCUUAUCAACCACAUUCUUGUCUCUUUCUUUCCCAGAGUUAAAUACUACCUUGAAUUUUGGACUUAUUGUUCUUUCUUUCUCUCUCCUCUCUCUUUAAACAUAUAUAUAUCCCCAAAGUUUUGGGUUCUCUUUUUUAUAAAAAUGAUAAUACUGUAAAUAUUCCUCUGCAAUUUGUUUUUCUUCACUCUAUAUUCUGCUUGUUUGAUUUAUGUGCACAUGUAUAGCUCUAGUUCAUUUUCACUGAUGUAUAGCAUUUCACUGUAUAAUUAUACUUCAGUCUCUUGCUGAUGGAUGCUUGGAUUGUUUCCUAUUUUUCCACUGCUGGUAUGAUCACCAGUAUCAUCAAUUACCUGUGCAGAUGUUUUCUAGAGUAUAUCUGUAGGAAUAGAAUAGCUAGUAAUAGAGCAUUUGCAUCUUCAGUUUUAAUGCAAAAUUACUUCCCUCAUAGCUGUGAGAUUUCCUAUUGCUUUGAUCCUCAACUACAUGUAGUAGUAUGAUCAGAUUUUAAAAUAUUGAUAAUAUGGUGAGUGUUGUGGAAGAAUUGUGUUCUCCCAAAAUUUAUAUGUGAAGUCACAACUCAUAGUAGCUCCAAAUAUUUAGAGAUAGGAUCUUUUAAAGAAUUAAGGUUAAAUGAGGUCAUUAGGGUGAGCCUUAAUCUGAUGAGACUGGCAUCCUUAUACGGAGAGAAUAGAUUAGAACUGACAAGCACAGGGGACAGACAAUAUGAAGAUGGCCACCUACAAGCCAAGGAGAGGGUCCCUUAGAAGUCAACCCUGCCAACACCUGGAUUUUGACCCCUAGUUCCAGAACUGUGGAGAAAUAAAUUAUUUAAGCCCCCUGGUCUGUAGUUCCUUGUUACGGCGGCCUUAACAAAACUGAUACAAUGAGUUAAAAAUGUUAAGUUAUUUUAGUUUUUACAUUUCUAUUGUUGAUAACUGAGUUUAAAAGAAACUGCACGUGUUCGCCUUUCAGCUUUCUCCUAUAACAUUCUUUUAAAUUGUUUUAAAAAGUAUUUUUAUUUUGUUGUUUCCUCCUCUUAUACAUACACAUAUUGAACACUACUUCUUGGUCAUUUUUAAGUACUGUAAAUGUCUCCCUGUGACUUGCUUUUCAUAUUUUUAUAAUGUCUCUUGAGAAAAAGAAAACAGAAAUUUAUUGUCUCAUAACUCUAGAGCUAGAAAUCUAGAAAUCCAAAAUGAAGGCGUCAGUGGGUCACGCUCCCUCUGAAACCUAUAAGGACACUCCUUCCUUGUAUCCUCCUGGCUUCUGGUUGCUUGCCAGAAAUCCCUGGAGCUCCUUGGCUUGCAGCUGCAACACUUGAGCUUCUGCCUGCCUCAUCGCAUGGCAUUCUCCCCUCCAGGUUCUGUGCCUCUGUAUCUCUUCUCUUCUUAUAAAGGGGACAAGUCUUAUUGGAUGAAGGGCCUAUCCUAUUCCAGUAAGACCUCAUCUUAACUAAUUAUAUCUGUAAAGAUGCUAUUAUUUUGUGGGACUGGGGGUUGGCUCUUCAACAAAUCUUUCUGGGGACACAGUUCAACCCAUUAUAAUGACUCGAUCAUACCUUGCCUGAUCCAUCUGACAGCAAUGGCUUGCCAGCCCAACUUAAUAUAUGAGAAGAAUAGGGAAUAAUUUUAGGAACUAAAGAGGAAAGAGUUAGGAAUCCUCAUAAAAAUGGAACUACCCGUUAUUCCCAGCACAGGAACCAGAGGUCAUUUGUACACCUCUGCUUCUGGGUAGAGAAAUUUAUAAACUGUUGCCUCUCCAGGGGAAAUAUGAAAGUUAGCCAGCUCACUUAGGCCUGUGCCACUUUCCUGAGUCUGAGUCUGCUUCAGACUGGCUGACAGCCAAGAGUUGCUGUUUACAGAAUAAAAUUCCCUCAUGAUGAAUAAGGAAAUGGCUGAAUAAAGCCUGGAAUUUCAAGGAAGGAAAUAGGUUGUAGAAGUAUUUUUUCCUCCACUUGGGGGGGUGUGGACCCACAUUAGUCCAGAGUGGAGCAUGGUGGUGGUGGGAGGGGCGGUCCUAGGCCAACACAGAGUAAGGGGUGCCACAAGGGGAAUAGCCUGACUGGGAGAAGACUGCUAAGACAUGAGCAGGGCCUCCCCACCUCCCCGCCAACUUUUUCUCAGACCUGUGUCCUGGGAUCUUGGCAGAGCCCAAAUGGUAAGAAAAGAGCCAUAGAGAAGGGAAAAUCCUAAGUGAAAAGUGAAAAAUGGCAAAUACAGAAUACUUCCAGUUGACUUCUCAAGCACCAGGUCCAAGCCAGAUCUAAUUUAACCUUGAAGGAAAAUAUUACAUUUCUAGUAACACCAGUAUUGUGGAGAAAUCUGUAACUAUUACAAUUAGAACUAAAUAUUAACUUGCCUCUGUAAGGCAUAUCAUAUGCAUAAACUCUUUGUCAGAUCAGUAAAGUAAACUUCAGUGUCUAUUAUAGAUUGGGUUCCCUGGGAAGCAGAGUAAACUAGAGAUGUGCAUGUAAGGAGGUUAUUGGAAGAUGCUCUCGAGAGAUACACCUGGGAGAAAGUUGAAGGGGUGGGUAGGGAUGAAGAAAUGAAAGCAGGAUCAGGCAGAGAGAAGAAGAGCUGCGAUGCAAUCCCAACCCAGGCCUCUGCAGAUUCUACAAGGAGCUGAGAGAGCCCUAAAAGGUAUUCUCUGGAUGAGUAAGGGGGCAGGCAAUUAUAGCCACCCAUCGGUCAAUCACUGGCUGAGAGCUCUCCCAGGGAAGGGGAGAAGAAUUUAUCUGUGACUUGUCAGCAGCUAGGAGACCAACUGCCUAGGAACUGAAGGGGAAUGGGGUGGACUGGGCAGCACACCACAGCCUCCACCAUGACAAUGCUCUCACUCUGGAGUGACAUGGGUGGCACUACCAGAGGAGCUGAUGCAUUCAGUACAUACCAUGGCCACUCAGCACAUCCCCUACUCCACCCUUCUUUCAUUUAUCACAAAUGCAUUGUGCUCUUAGGAUAUAUCCAGGUGAUAGUCAUUCCUUUUCAAGGGCAAGUUCUCAGGUCUAGUAACCUUUGGGCAACAGCAGAUGGUUAAGUAAACUGAGGCACAUCCAUGUUUUAGAUCAUUACAACUGAAGUUGUAGAAGGUAAUAAUCAUAAGAAAACAACAUGUAGCAUGUGAUCCCAUUUCUGGAAAAAAAUAUGUCUAUGAGAAAAAAUCUAUCAAAAUGGCCACUUAGAGUACGUAGUUAUCUCUGGACAGUGGGAUCAUAGAUUAUUCUCUUUCUCCUUUUGCUUAAGUGUAUUUUCUGGAUCAACCCAAUAAACAUGUUACUUUUGUAACAGGGAAAGAUAUUAUCUACUCCUCUAAAGAAGAAUAGGCCUUCAUAAGGAAUAGACCUUGUGAUUAUAUUUAUCAAGUAGUGAAAUCAGGAAGGAGACUUUAAAUGGAAUUUGUACAUUAAUAGUGGCCACUUCAGAGCCCAAGAGAUUAAGGACAAGUCUGCAUAAAAGAAAGUUUAGACCUCUGCUGUUCAAAACAGUG